rnacentral:RNase_P_RNA from 1 species
UGAGUAAACUAGGUGAUCGCGCUAGUAUGCGAGGAAAGUCCGGGCUCCACAGGGCAUAGUGCUGGGUAACACCCAGUGAGGGCGACCUCAAGGAAAGUGCCACAGAAAACAAACCGCCCCCUUUCGGGGGUAAGGGUGAAAAGGUGCGGUAAGAGCGCACCAGCGGUUAGGCGACUAACCGGCUUGGUAAACCCCACUAGGAGCAAGACCAAAUAGGAGGGAGUUAACGGUGGCCCGCCGGUUCCCUCGGGUUAGGUCGCUAGAGAAGCUAGGCAACUAGUUUCCCAGAUGGAUGAUCACCCUCGACAGAACCCGGCUUAUCGGUUUACUCAGGAA